AAUGCUAGACGAUGAGCAUGAAUAAAUACUGCCAUCCGUAUAAGAUCUUGUGGUAGAACGUGAAGAGCAACUAGCUGAAGAUAUUAUUCCGGAACGCAAGGUCACAACGACACGCAAAGGUGAAUGUGAAUCCUUCCGUGUUGGACGGAAAUGUUAAAAACCAAGUGCCGCUAAGGGGGCAUUUGGAUUGACGAAUCUGUAGAUCCAACAUAACUCAAGUGCAGUGGUGUUUGAGCUUUCCUGAAGUGUAAUUAUUUUUCUGUUGUUGGUUUUGACUUAACUCAUAUAGUUUGAAAGUUAAAUUCAAUUAUUUCUUCUGUUUGUUUUGAUGUAACUUGGUAUUGGUGAAAUUAAUUUUUCAGUUUCAUUGUUUAUUUUGAUGUAAGUAAGUGAAUUUCGUUAUCUCCUAAAUAUAGUGGUAAACUUAUUGCUAUAAAAUUUAACCUAUUAUAUAAUUAAAUUUUUUAUUAUUAUUCAAAGGUAAUCCUAAUUUGUUAUAAAUAAGGUAAUUCUAACCCAUUAUAAAGGAAGUAGAGUUUAGGUUUUACUAUUUAAUAAAUUUUUUAGAGAAGGUUGAGUGUGACGGAAGUCGAGUUUGGCACUUUAGAGGAGGAAGUCGAGAGUAGAUGAAGUGGAGAUCUAACAUAACUUGAGUUACAUUAUAUUUUUGACUUACACCAAAACAAAUAACGGAAGUGAUGGAACUUGAGUUCCAUCCCUCUACUUACACCCAAACAGACGGACUCAAGUGGUUCAUGAGGGAAUUAAGCUAGGAAAACUCGGUUCCCUCACUUGCCGUUCUAGAUCUAGUAGGUGUUGGUUAUUUCUCUCAAAAUUAGAAAGCCAUGAUCUUGGAUGGUCAAAAUUCCAGAUAAGUUUCAACCGUUGCGGAUAAGGUGGAGGCGGUUUCAACUAUUUCAAUUGGGAUAGAGAUCAAGAUGCUUUCGGCGAAUCAGAAGAAGGAUCAAAUUGUUAAAUUAAUUUAGAUAAGGAUAAAAUGAUAGGUGAUUUUUUUUUUUUCAAAUAUUUUGUCCUUAUUUCAUUGUAAGCUUGAAAGGCUAUAAAUAGGGACUCUAUUUGCUCUUAUAAAGGCUGACAUAAUAAAUAUACAAAAUUUUUCCACUCACUGCUCCUUGUAUUUUUCUUUUCUAAUUGAUCCGAUUUCAGAUAUCCAUCGGGGAGGCGCCGCGACAUUACUUCCUCCUCCGGCGGAUUGGCUGCAAACUGGGAGUAACAUAUACUCUAAUUUAAUUAUGGGCGUAUUUUUAGUCCAUCCGAACAGCAAUAUAGUAAAAAAAAAUUCUAUUCUGUGGUGUAAUGUCACUAUACCCUAUUUUAAAGACUAUCCAAACAGACCCAAGAGGUAAGCAUAUUUCUACGUCAAUAAUCAGAUCCUUGGCCGGUAACCCAUAAGAGUUGGCUCUGUAUGUUCCUAUGUCAUGCUUUUGCAAACAAAUCUCGCAAAAUGAUGUGUCUUAAACUAAGAUCUUUCCUUAAUCUCAUCUUGAAUUACUUAAUUGUCCGAUUUGACCGAAACCUACACAGGCGGCCGGGUUCAUCACGAUUCCUGGUUUGUGAUAAUAUAUUUAUUUUAUUUUAUUUAAUUUUACAUUAUAUUAAUUUAUUUAUUUACUUUUAUAAAAUUUUGUUCCAAUUGUAAUUCGUAAUAAUUAGAUAAUUAGCCUUUAAAUGUAUUUUUAUAAAAUAAAACAAAUAAUCAGUCAUUACAACAUGAGCUCGUGGAACUCGCUGGAUAUCACGAUGAUGGAGGGGGGGGGGCAAUAUUAGAGAUCAUUUGAUUAGAUGUAAUUAAUUAUAAGGGGUCGUUUGGUUUGAUGUAAUAUUAAAUACAGUAUAGUUGGAGAUACAUGAAUUGAAAAAUACAGCAGUUGCAACUUCAUGUCAUUUCGUUCGUUGUAAUAAAAAGCAUUGCAACUAUAAAUAAUUUAUUUGGCUGCAUGUAUUUAAAAAUAAUUUUUAGAAUUUAUUUUUAAUAUAUUAUAUAUAUAUUAUUAUAUAUUAUAUUAUUAUAUAUAUAUAAUAUAUAUUAUAGAUAUAUAUAUAUAUGAUGGUGAGAUUAUCUCUAAUAUAAAAAAUAAAAAAAUUUUGUUUAAAAAAUAAUUAAAGAGGUAAGCAUACAUUUUGUUUAAAAGUUACUCUUUCUAACUAUUCCAGUUGAAACUGCGGCUAAUUUGGGCGUAGUUCCAAUUAUUGUAGUCGGGCCUCCUCCUAUAGUUCAUAUUGCAGCAAUUGAAGUUAAAUACGUCAAAGCAAACAUCGAAUUUGUAUUUGAAUUGCAGUUGUAGUUGUAACUGCACGCUACCAAACAGCCCCUAAAUGUAAUGCCGUUAGUGGUGCAUAUGUUUGAGAAUACAUCAUUUACAAUUAAUAAAAAGCAUUGUAACUACAAACAUUUGCAUUCAAUUAAGAAUUUGCAUUUACAAAUUUUAUCACUUUAUAUAGUAUGGUAAAAUUACCUUAAAAGAUGAUUAAGGAAAUAAGAUUAUUUUUUGUUAAUAAUUAUUUUUUCCAAUUCUAACAAUUGAGUGUCCAUAUAUAGUUCUCAAAUUCAAAUAAACUAAACCAAGUACCAAAGUCUUUGGUACUAUUGAGUUUUUGGCCGUUGGAUGAAUAGAUGUGCGGUUAGGAUGAUAGUGGUCCCCGGUUAAAUUGAUAGUGGUCCUCUAGGGUUGAGUGGGUGGUUGGUUUAAUAAUAUAAUCUAACGGGUGGAAAUGAUAAAAGGGUAGAUCUAACGGUAGAAAACUCAAUAGUAUCAAGGGCUUGAUACUAUCGAUAGUAUAGUAGCCGGACUAUAUAUAUAUAUAUAUAUAUAUAUAACUAGGCUACUAUACUAUCGGUAGCACAGAGCGCUUCGUGCUACCAAGUUGUUUUUGAUGAUGCGGCUUCUAAAUCGACGAUCGACUCCGUUAGACUUGAUCUACACUAUUGAAAGUAUUUAAAAACUAAAUUUCAUAAUUUUUCGAUAUUAUUUAUCUAUCAAACAAGUAGUCUAAAAUUGAACGGCUGAAAAUAAAAAUCUCAUGAAAAAUGAUGAUAAAAGAUUUAAAUUCAAUAUCAGAUAUACUUAUCUUACACUAAAUAGUAAAAAAAAAAUUUCUAUAAAAUUUUCAUCGCAUUUGGAUUGUUUUACAUUGUUAAACUCACAAACACACCACAUCGGCCAUUAAAAUUGUUAAACUUUGAGAUUUUUGAUCACUAGUCAAAUGAUGUCGAAAAAAUCUAAAAUUUAGUUUCCAAAUACUUUCAAUAGUGUAGAUCAAAUCUAACGGAGCCGAUCGUCGAUUUGGAAGCCGCAUUAUCGAAAACAACUUGGUAACACGGAGCACUCCGUGCUACCGAUAGCAUAGUAGCCGCACUCUAUAUAUAUAUAUAUAUAUAUAUAGAGAGAGAGAGAGAGAGAGAGAGAGAGAGAGAGAGAGAGAGAGAGUUGGCCUAGAAUACUAUUAAUAGUAUUUGCCUCAUUUUGUUAGUCUUUGAAUUUAUUUUUUUUUAUCAUUUCUAAUAAUAUUAUAACUCAGUGGGACCACUCAACCCUAGGGGGACCACUUAAUCCUAAGGGACUAGUAUCAUGCUAACCAUACAAUUUCUCAUCGGUUAAAAACUUGAUAGCAAACGAGAGCAAAUACUAUCAAUAGUAUUCCAGCCCAACUCUCUCUCUCUCUCUCCCUCUCUCUCUCUCUCUCUCUCUCUCUAUAUAUAUAUAUAUAGAGAGAGAGAGAGAGAGAGAAGGUCUUGUGUGCUAUUAGGAACACGGAGGCCUCCGUGCUCCUAAGCCAUUUUCGACAAUGGAGCUUACGAAUCAACGAUCAGCUCCGUUAGACUUGAUCUAGUAUAUUUGAAGUAUCUAGUAUACAAAUUUUGUGAUUUUUCGAUAUCAUUUACCUAGUGAUCAAAAGGGCUCAAAAUCAACAAUUUUUAAUGGUUGAUGUAUAUCGUUUGCAAGUUUAACGAUGUAGAGGUAUUCAAAUAAGAUGAAAUUUUGAUCGAAAAUUCUUUAUGCUAUUUACUGUAAGAUCAAUAUCUCUGAUUGAAAAUUUUAGUGCUAUAUCACCACUUUUUGUGACAUUUUUAUUUUCAGCCGUUGAUUUUGAACUCUUUCGAUUGCAAGGUCAAUGAUAUCGAAAAAUCUCAAAAUUUAUUUUCUAAAUACUUCAAAUAUACGAAAUCAAGUCUAACGGAGCCGAUCGUCGAUUCGCAAACUCCAUCGUCGAAAAUGGCUUAGAAGCACGGAGGCCACUGUGCUCCUAAUAGCACACAAGACCUUCUCUCUCUCUCUCUCUAUAUAUAUAUAGUUAUAUAGUUAUAACUACAAUACAUUUAACUAUAUAUAAUCAAAUAAUCCCUUGAAGGUUCCAUAAUAUACGGUAAGUUGGUCAGCGACUUCUGAACUACGAGAGGUGUUUUGAAAUAUCGAACUUUUUAUAGUUUCUUAUGCUUAAAUAGAUUGGCCUUACAGUUCAUCCCAAAUUAAACAAACAUUCCCUAGUUAAAGUCUUUCAUUGAUUAGUUUUUAGUAGAUAGUUAAUUCUGUGUCUAUGUCAUUGACUUAACCUCCAAGAGUUUAAGUUGGUUCACUCAUCAACACGCUACUAUAAAAAGUCAAAACCACAAUGGAUUUAUUCAGUUUCGACAAUAAUGCGGAUAAAACUUCGACUGACUGUUGAUAAAACUUGAACAAAUAAAUUAAUAAAAUAGGUAAAAGGGACGUAUAGCCCUCACAUGCACCCAAGCGCGUAAUGCGAGAAGCACCUGUGUGAACAUUAAGGCAGCGGCGCUUGGUAGCGUUGCAAUUUUUAAUUUAUUUUCUAAAUAUGAAUUUUAAGUAAUAGAAUGUGUGCGCAGAACAUUAGGAGUGCUUACAUUAGCAAUAAAAAGGAUAAAAAAUUAGUACAAACAAUGACGAUAAGGGUGCGUUUGGUUUGCACUAUGAAAGAUUACUAACAAUAAAAAGAUGUCCGAAAAUCUUAUUCUUAUUCAUCCUAUUACUAAGAAUAUGACAUUCCUGUGUUUGGUUUGCACGGUCAUAUUAUUUAGUCAUAUUAUUUAAGUUUACAAAAAAAUACAAUUAAUUAAUUUAUUUUUUAAUUAAUUUUAAAUAGUGCUACUAAAAAUUUCAACAUUUUUUUAGAAAAAAGGAAGAGAGAUGUCAUGCCCCGGGGUCCCUUUUAGUUUAAACCAUAGCGGAAAGACGUCUGAAAAUUUUUUUUUUUUUUUUUAAAAGCCUGACCCCAGAGUAUGCCAGAUCCGCCACAAAUUCAGGGAAUCCACUGUUCACACGGACAGAGUCUCCCCUGUAUUUGCACGGCGUCACACAAGUACAAGAAGUAACCCAGGUACAACCACAACCAAAUGAACAUACAAAUAACCAACAAUUAUAUGUUCAUACACCAUUCACAUCACAGGUUCACAUUUAUAUAUUCGAUAUUUGAACAUAAAUCCACAUCUAUCAGUUAAAAUGUUUCCAACCACAGAAACAGGUUUUGAAAUACUAAGAGUAAUAACUAUACCGAAAUAACCUGGGUCGGAAGCUCUAUCGUCCGCUACACACGUACCUCACGUCUCGUCCCACUGUACAUCGCCCGCGAUACCUGAAAAUGUGGGGGAGGUUGAGAACAUGUAUAACAUGCUCUCCCCCUCCAGUGGAGUACCGCAAGCCCGAAGAAGGCGAGGAGUACUCACCGGAUCAGGAAAACUACUACAACGACACGGCAUCGUCAGUGGAGAAAAUAGGUUAACGAGCAGAUAUUCAUUGACGAUAAAUGAGGGAAGUAAGAACAUAUACUGAAUAAACGGCUACCGCUACUGUGAAAUAGAACAGAAAGCAUACAUGAAUAUCUUAUAGUACCAUGACACUAUAAAGUAGAUCUCUGUAAGUAUGCAUGCAACGACUGCUCUAUAAAACAUAUGCAUCAAUGGACAAUCAGUCAAAGCUACCCAAUCUGGAACCAAUGCUCUCUUCGGUCAGCACCCCCAGACCUCAAGCCAAUGCCCGCGAGGUCCGCACCGAACACCUGCCGGACAGUACCACUGCCGCUCUAACAGACAUAUAACCCUUGGGCUCACGUGGUUUGUCCACCAUUCAACCACUUUUCCGGAAAGGACACUCCUAUGCGGGAUGGAUCAGACCGCCGGUGUUCGUUGAAAAUGCAACGAGUAUCGGUGCGAUCAAUGCAAUAUUGGUCAAUGAUCAACGGUCUGGCAACAGCCGACAAUCCUGCCCCCCAGGGCCUUAUUCGCGUAUAGGUCAUCAACUGUAAAGAAGCACAAGAACCGACCACUCAGGUCAACUAGGAUGGGACAACAUCGACAUCCUCUCAAACAUAUGCAAAUACUGACUAAUCAAGUCAACUGGGAUGGCACAACUCAACAUCCUACCCACAGUAUGUAGAUACUGAUCAAUGAGUCAACUACUGUAUAUAUGCAAGAAUCGGUCAACAAGUCAUCUGAGUAUAUGAUCUAGAACUACCGUCGGCCACUAGUCGACAAUCCUACCCCUCAGGGUACACCGACCUCAAAGGUCAUCAAACAACAAGAGUCAAGGAACAAACCGACUAUAUACCGAUAUAAGAUACAAGAACGAAUCAACUAGGUUACUGAUUUUACAUAAAAUCACGAAACCGCUCUACUCUAAACAUGAUACAGGAUAUGCAGAAUAGCUAAGUAGAGCAAUAAAGAAAUAUGGUGUAACUACUCUACUCCUACUCAUGGUAUAAAGAGAACAACCGAGUAGAGUGUAACUAAACAACAUGGUGCUAGGCUCAACACUAUAUAUCAAGAUAUAUAUAUGCUAAAUAAUAACGAAAGAGCAAAGGUAAGAAACCAUCACCGAGCGUGCACCACUGUACCGACGUCGGAUCGAAGUACCCACCUGUACAACUGUCGCGCCUGUCUCCUGACUGCAAAAGAACGUCAACAGGACCUAAGGGGGGUCCACUGGGUUAGUGUCUAACCCACAACUAAGAAACCCUAAAAGCAUAACCCACAAACAAUCCCACGGAGAUCGGUUUCCCAAUACCGAUUACCGUAACUCGCCGGAAGUCCCGAAACCACACCGGGACGCCGUCGGGACCCACUAAGUGUCCCGAAACUCACCGACUCGUGUCACGAGUCACCUACUGCCCCAAAACACUCCAAUUUGGAUGUUUUGGUAGUAAAUACAAGAUAACACCCCUACACAAUUGUCGCCGGAUAAUUGUGCGAAUUCGGGUUCCCGAAAGUGUCUAUUUCGACACCGGAACCCACCGUCGCUCACCCAUCAUCACUGAACCCACAAUGUGAUGAUGGUGACCGGCCAACAAGGCUUAGCGACUACUCACAGAGCAACCCAACAACGUCGGAAGAAAUCCGAACCGAAACCGCGUUCUUUCGGCGAAUUUCGUCGAAAAACGUGCCGGAAUCGACUUUUCGAUUUCCGUGAAAGCUACAGGAUCAUGGACAAUCAGUCCAGAGGUCAAACACACUCAUACACACUGCCCACAGUAGCCACAAGGUGCACAAUUGCACAAAAGCCCGUAUAUUUACAUAAAAUCCCAACAUUUUAUGUAAAUCGGACGAUAACAUGGCUCGUUCACGCAAACCGAGGACUUCCAAGGUCUACAGAGACACGUACUGACAGGUCUCGACGUACUGGAGGCCGUGCUCACGAUCUGGAGCACAAUGGCUCACUGUGGGAAGCGCGGGAGCAACCCGAAGUUCUGCGAACAGCGCGCAGUCGGGGAAGAUCGCGCCAAACAGGGCUAACCGGACACUGUUGAUCCAAAGUGAGGUGAGCACUGUGAUCAGUACUGACCAACGAUCACCGUGCUCACCUCCGGAGGCAUCAGGACAGCCUCAGAUCGCCGGAUAAGCGUGCGCAACCCCAAAACAACAGCCAAACAGGCUCGAUAGGGUCGACAAUGCCGAAACAGCUGAACGGAGUCUCCCCGACAGAAUCUAAGGUGAGCACGAUGAUCAGCAAUUUGCUACGAUCAUCGUGCUCCCUUCCGCAGAGAUCGGGGAGGCUCGAGAAGCUCGGAACAGUAAACCAUCCUAACUAAGCCCUAUUUCGGGCUCGGCCGGAGCAAGGUUGCUCCGGCCGGCUUCCGGCGGCACGGCGGCGCGCGCGGGAGCCUGGGAUGGGUGCGGGGGAGGUGAGGAACACGGUGCUCACCUCAUUUGGCGGCGGGGAGCGGCGGCAGUGACGGCGGAGAGUCUUGAGCCCGCACGAGCUCGGGCUCGGGCUCCAACGAAGCUACGGCCACGGCGGUGGCCGGGGCUCCUCGGGGACGACGGCGGCAGGUCCACAGAGGCCGGAGGAGGAGGAGGAAGGCGGCGGGCGACAGCGGCGGCGGCCCGCGGCUCGGGCGUUGCCGCUCGAGCCAGGCUCGGUCUGCAGACCUGGGCGGCGGCGCCCAAGGUUCAGGGCGGCGGCGGCGAUCCGAAGGGCUGCGGCGACCGACCGGGAAGGUCGGUGGGACACAGGAGAAGGCCGCGGGAGUGGACCAAGGCGGCUGCGACGCGGGGGUGGAGUUACCAAGUCUGCUCGGUCCGAGCAGACCUGGGAUGGCUGCAGGGUGGCCGCGGCGGCGGCGGCGGCUCGCAGGAGCGCCGGCGACCCGCCGGGGUGGUCGCCGAGGGUCCGGGGACGGCGGCCGAAGCGGGUGCAGGCGGUGGCUGCGCGCGGGGAGGCCGCGAGUCAUCCUCGACCUAAGCUCGGCUUAGGCAGCAGCCGGGUGCAUCAGCGGCCGCGGCGGCGCUUGGCGACGGCGGCGGUCGGCGGGGAUGCUCGCCGGAGCACGGGGCGACACCGGCGGAGGGUCUGGAGGUGGCGGCAGUCUCGGGCUUCCUCACAACCCGAGAUAAGAGAGAAGGAGAGAGAGGAUUAUGGUGCGGCUGCGGCGGCUGGCCGGCCGGACCCGGUCGGCGGCGGCCGGGAGGCGCGCGGCCAGGUCAGAGGGAGGCAAGAACGUGGCUGGGGUGCAGUUAUGGCUAGGGUUAGGGUUAGGGAAUCAAAAACCCUAGGUACACUAUAUAUACAUAAGGUGCAAAUUGCAAGUAAGUCCUCCAAAACUCAGAAUUUCAUAACGAGUCCUCCACAGCGCGUGUAAAACGCGAGAAUACCCCUCCACGUGCGAUCCCACGCAAAACGGUACAUAAAAUGUCGCAUCUUUUGCGAAAUUACAAUUUGCCAACACCGACCUCUCCUCGAUCAACGUGCGAUCUCCGCAGAUCCGUCCGUCAGAUUUGCGAACGGAUUGUACCAGUGCGAUCAGCACCUCGGAGACAACAAAGCUACGAUUUUGUUUCACCACGAUCGACCACGGAUUCACGACAAAAUCCAAACUUUCUUUCCAAUAGAAGGAAUAACACAUAAAUACAUAUAAAACAUGUAUUUUCGGAUUUUCUCGAAAUUCGUGCAUCAAACUCAAAAUCCGUCAGCGCCAGAAGUUCCAGAAUAGCUGAACCGGUCGAAACGAGCUAUUGGACUGAUAUGAACGGAGUCCGAUACGCACCAGAGCCAACUCUACUCCGUGGCUUCUCCGGAAAACCGGAGUUACUAUUCACUUAAGUGAAAACUAAAAAUCGCGUAUCUUCUCCAUUUUAGCUCAGUUUCUCCUGUAACUUGACGAGUGCUUAUGUAAUUAGAUUACACAUAUAAACAUCAUCAACCGAGAGUUUAGUUGCACAGUCAAAAAUCUCAGUCCUUACAAGAGAACACAGGUUAGAGAGAGAGCAUAAUUAAAGAAAUAGAAAGAGAAAUAGAGUCGAGAUUAUAGGGAGUGGGAGAGUUGAGAUUAUAGAAAAAGAGGGGGAGAGAGAGCUUAGUUUAGAGAGAGAAAAAAAAUAAAAGUUUAGAGACAAAAAGAUAAGUUUAGAGAGAGAUUCGAGAUUAGAGUGUAAAGAAAAAUAAUACCAACUAGCCGGCGGGUAGGAAGAAAGAAAGAGAUUGGACAUAUUAUGAUUACCCUAAUCCAUUAAUAUGAAAAUAUCCAUCCUCCCUCAAGGGAAUGAGAUUGUACUUUGGGAUGAAUCUCUUUCCCAAGUAAAUCCAAUAUUACCAACUAGAUUACUUAGUGCGUUUAGUCAAACACCGUCAUAUUUUUUUUAUUUCUAUUGGAUUAUUAGAAAUUUUAAAAAGAUAGCGCGAACCAAACGCACCCUAAUAAGAGUAAAGAAGUUUAUCCGCUCUCUCUCUCUCUCUAUAUAUAUAUAUAAGUUGAGAUAGAAUAUAUAUAGAGAGCAGGACUACUAUACUCUUAUGAAUAUAGAUUCAUUCGUACUCAUAAGUUGUUUAGAUUAUGGAGCUUCUGAAUUGACAAUCCAUAUUGUUAAAUAUGAUCUAUAGUAUUUGAAACUAUUAGAAAAUAAAUUUCAUAAUUUAUUGAAAUUAUAUUGAAGUUCAUCAAGCGAGCAUAAAAUGAAUGGUUAAACUUGAACGACCUCAUAAAAAUAGAGGAUCGGAUGCUUCAAUUUAAGAUCGGAGUUAUCGAUCUUUAUUCAUAUAGUGAAUAGAAUUUUCUAUAAAAAAUUCAACCUAUUUUGAGUCUAUUACACCGUUAAAUUAGUAAGUAACUCAUACCGGCCAUUAAAAAUUAUCAAUUUUAAGAUCUUCUGGUCUUAAAGUAAAUAAUGUCGAAAAAUUAUGAAAUUAGAUUUUUAGAAGUUUUAAAUACUCCAAAUUAUGUUUAAUAUUAUGGAUCGUCGAUUUGAAAGCUAUCAUCGAAAGCGACCUAUAAGUAUGAAGACGAUCGUACUUAUAAGAGUAUAGUAGUAUAUAUAUAUAGAGAGAGAGAGAGAGAGAGUCCAUCUACUAUCCUAUUAAUAGGAUUGAGGACAUUAAUUGUCUUAUCAAGUCGUUUUGAAUGAUCGGAGCUUAAAAUUCAUAAUCGGUACUGUUGAAAUUGAUCUACACAAUUAGAAAUGUUUAGAAACCAAAUUUUAUAAUAUUUAAAAAUCAUUAUCAAGUUUGUCGAAGAGUUUGAAAAAUGAACGGUCAUAAAUGAAUAACCUUCUUAAAAUAGAGGUUAGACUUUCUCAAUUCAUAACCAGAGUUAUCAAACAUUAUCUAAAUAGUAUAAAAAACUUUCUAUCAAAAAUUCAAGCAAUUUGGAUUGCUCGACACCAUUAAACGAGCAAACGGCUCAUAUAAGCCGUCAAAAAUUGUCGAUUUUACGACACUUUGAUCACCAUGUAAAUAAUUUUUAAAAUUUAUGAAAUUUAGUUUCUAGAUAUUUCAAAUACUCUAGAUCAACUUCAAUGGCUCUGAUCAUCGAUUCGGAAUCUCUAUCAUCAAGAACAACUUGAUAGGACAAGUGCUACUAUCCUCUUAAGCCCUAGCCUAUAUAUAUAUAUAUAUAUAUAUAUAUAUAUAUAUUAUAUAGUUGAGCUAGGGAUACUUUUUACAAGUAUCACCUAUGGUGCUUAAGUUUUACCAUUGGAUCUUAUCGUCUUGAUACUAAUUAUUCCUUGGAUCAAGACACGUAUUUCAAUCUACCACACCUUCUCAACCUCACAUCUCUCCAUCUAAGGGCUAAAAACACUAAAGCACCACCCCCAUGGUACUUGUAAAAGUAUUCUAGCUCCACUCUCUCUCUCUCUCUCUCUCUCUCUCUCUAUAUAUAUAUAUAUAUAUAUAUAUAUAUAACGACAUAAAUAAAAAAUAGAAUCACAAUAUCAUCAAAGAAAGAGCACAAAAUCCAUCACGGUAUCAUCGGAAAAAAAAGAACACAAAAUCCGUCACUAAACUAACUGAAAAUGUCACCAUCAUUUCAUUAUUUAACAGAUAAAAAAGUUGAACCAAAAUGUGAAUUUUUAAUCAUUACUUAAACAAAAUUCUGUCUCUCUCCCACCAGUCAUUGCUUAUAUGCAAAAUACACUUAAAGUAAGAAAAAUAAUAAAAUAAACAUUAGUAAAUCAUCGGAAUUGAUAAAGUUAGUAAAAAAUAAAAAUUUAAUAAGAAUUCACAUAAAUAAAAAUUUUUACCUUAGUUUUAUUUCUUAAGUUUCUGGAAUAGGUAAAUUGAGCAUAAUUUUACUCGCAAAACUCAUUGCUAAAUAAAUUUAAAAUACUAUAGAAAGAAUAAAAUAUUAAAAAGUAUAUUUACCCUAAUUAUUGAUGAUAACAUCACUGCUAUUAAUACAACAACUGAAUUGUUUGCAAUAGCAUCUCUUCAUAUACUAAUGUGUGUUAGGACCAUCUUAUCCUAGAGGAUCAAUCUACUACGAUUCAUGCUUCAAAUGCAUCCAAAAAUUAAUUAUUAAUAUUUUUUUUCAUGUGAUAUGAUAAAAGUGGAAACACUUUAAUAUUUAUCCAUUAUGAUAAUUUCACUUUUAGGAUGAUUAACACCAUGACUUCAUACAAAUUGAUGGUGAUUGACUUGAAUAACUAUUCCUACAGUAUAUGAGAAAACUGAAGUAGUAUAGAAGGCGGCAAAGGCGACAAUAUGUCGGCGCCGAUAAUGAUGAUGACGAUGAGGAGGACGAUGACCAUGUGUCGGUUUGAGGAUGGAAAGUAGGGUUCUGUUGCAGCUUUAUGUCCAUCAUAGACCACAGAGACAGCCAUAAGUUGCUUAAGAAACGGCUAUCACGGUCAGACACAUGCAAUCGAGUUUGGCAAACCAAAUAUGUCCACACGUGUUGGAAGAAUAGCCACGCAGCUUCCUCGCUGUUGAUUGUCUCCUUGCACAGCACAAGUACUAUCAUUUUGGAGAAUCAAUCGACCAUCAUGUAAAGAUAGUCUUGACCCCACUGGGUCCUCGGGACGUCUUCUAAAGUCCAUGGAGACACUUUUUCCAAAGACGAGCCGAUACUGGAAGAGGGGUAUAGAGGCCCAGUUUGCGAUUAGUGGGCUUGGAUGUACAGCACAGGAUGCAUCCCUUCACAAGUUGUGUCACAUCGUUUUGCAUGUGAGGCCAAAAGACGUAGCGUUGCAGAUUUUGUAUGGUUUUAUUAACCCUAAUGUGACCUCCCACCUUUGAGGUAUGGAUUUCUUGGAUCCAUAGCACUCGAUCAGUCUCUUUAGGCACACAUAGCAAUGCACCCUCAUAUAGUAGCCCACCUUGGAAGGCAAACUUAUUAGGUCAUCCGGCUUCGAUGUAGCUAGCGCCAAAAUUAAAAAUCUGAGCCUUCUGCAUACAAGCUGGCAUACUCAUGAAAGCUUCACUGAACUUGCAUAAAUACUGAUAAGCAAAGUGCUGUCACUAAUCGUUGUGAUAGCAUAUUAUCCAGUUCAUUGUGGACGCCUUUCUUGUAUUUGAUCACCAGAUUGAACUGCUGCAAGUACGUCAUCCAUUUCAUGUGAUUGUUAUUUUAAUUGCAUUUGGAGGUACUAAAGCGCGUGGUGGUCUGUGUGCACCACUAUCUCCUUGCCUAGGAGGUAGACCCGCCAAUGCUUCACUGCUUGGUGUAGUGCCAAGAGUUCCUUGUUAUAGGUCGAGUAGUUCUUUUGAGCUCCUUGGAAUAUCUCGGAGUAGUACGCCGCAGGCCAGCCGUCUUGCAUCAAGACAACCUCUAUUACAUAUACACGACGCAUCCACCUCCAAUUCAAAGGGUCAUUGUAGAUUCGACAAGGCAAGUAUAGAGGCCUUGCAUAUCUUUUGUUGUAAAAGUCGGAACGUGUCCUCAUAUUUUGAACUCCAUUUAAACCUUUUGUUGGUCUUCGUAAGUGCAUGUAAUGGGGAACAAGGAGAAAAAAGUGCUAGAUAAACUUUCAAAUGUAUUGACAAGCGCUUGUGAAGCUCUGCACCUUCAUCACAUUUUUGGGCUAAGGCCACUCUUUGAUGGCCCUUUCCUUGUCAGGGUCAAUCUGAAGCUCACCACCGCCCACCAUGAACUUGAUGUACGCCAGGCUUUGCUUGCCAAACUCACACUUUUUACGGUUCAAGCGGCGUUGGUGUUCCUCGAGCAGCAUGAAAACCUUCUUGGCCUUCUUGACAUGCAUCAGGUGCUUCUCUCACGAUCGAUUGUAGAUGAGAAUGUCGUUGAUGUAGAGGAUCACGAAGUUAUCAAGGAAGGAGUGCAAAACGUUGUUUAUCAAUUGCAUAAAAGUGGCUGGUGCAUUACAAAAACUGAAUGGCAUGACGAGCCACUAAAACAGGCCAUGCUGUGUCUUGAAUGUGGUCUUCGAGGUGUCAUCCUCUCGAAUCCGCAUGUGAUGAUAGCCGAACUUUAGGUUCAGCUUGGUGAAAUAGCGAGCAUGUUUUAGCUGGUCCAGAAGAUCGUCGAUUCGCGGCAAGGGGUAUCGAUUCUUGAUGGUAAUUUUGUUGAGGAUGCAGUAGUCACUGCACAUUCGCCACCCACCAUCUUUGUUUGGAACCAACACAUUUAGGGAGCCAUAGGGGGAGUUGCUCGAUUUGAUAGCACCACUCUCGAGCAACUGAGUCUCCUGUCGUUUUAUCUCCUCAUUUUUCAUUACCAAGUUUUGAUACAUGCUAAGAUUCGGUAACGGAGUAUGUGAUCAACUGGAUCUCAUGUUCCAUGGCUCGCUUUGGUGGCAACUCCUGGACUUCCUGGAAUAGAUCCUGGUGCUCGCCAAUCAGCUUGGCGACAUCGUCAACAACUUUCCUACAAGCAAGAGAAACUCAAUACCUUGCUACUUGUCUCUUUAGGUUCAACUAGCCAAAUGACCAGCAAGGUAAACUUUUGGCAGGUAUUGAUCCUCCUCUUUGCUUGGCAAAUGGUCACCAUACCUACAGUUGUUGUCAAUGUCUUUGUAGUGAACAUAAAUUUCAAUCCAUCUUUAACAAAUUGUUACGAUGGGGAUGACAGAAGAAGAUGGCGUCGCAGUCCCACAGGUAGGGACUUCCGAAGAUGAAGUUGCAAAUAUUCAGUGGCACAACCUCGCACACUAAUUCAUCGAUGUUGAUACCAGUCAUCGCAAACUUCACCUUGCUGGAGAUCAAUCUUUAUCUCAAUGUUGUUAUUUAUCCACCCCAAUAGUUAUGGGUGUGGCUAUGGUGUAGUCGACAAACCUAGCUUUUGAACUAGGUUAUCCAAGAUCAAGUUCUUUUCGCUGCCAGGAUUGACAGUGGCAUCAAUCAUCUCAUUUUUGACUUGAACUCGAAAAGUGAAUAACUUCGUUCUUUUAUCAGUUGAAUUUGAUGGGCACAGUCCUUUGGCAUAGCCAUCAAAGAAAAGUUAGAGUCCGCCUUAUCAAUUUGUUUGAUUAAGGUAAGAGCAUCACUUGUCGAUGCUGCCAUUGUCGUUGUUGUCGUCGUUGUGCGUUUGCCACGGUCAUUCUUCUUCUUCGAUUUUAGCUCUAGAUGGAGCUUCCAACAUCGAUCCUUGACAUAUCCUGUGACUGUGCAAUGAUCACAGUACAAAUCAAGAUCAAAGGGCCCUUUCUUUUUUAGAGCUCUUUUUUAUCGACUUUUUGGGGCCCUCAACAAAUUCCCUCGAUGGCUUCUCCGUGCGAGACAGCGUGUUCUUCCGUUCAAUUGCCAUGGCUAUUUGGCUCGCUGAGGCGAUAUCGCGAACACAAAAGAGACGAAGCUCAUCAUUGAUGCACUCCUGCAGUCCGGCUGUGUAUUUAUGAAAAAUUAAGAUCGUCAAGGGAGAUGCCAAGCACCAAGGCUUGGCACUGGAAGUUGGUGGUGUAAUCCUGCAUGUUUGGUAGCGUCUUUGGCCCAUGACAUGCCAGCGCUUCCAUCGUUUCUCUUCACACCUCAUAGAGUAGAAUUUCUUGCGGAUCAGUCACUUGAACUGAUUCUAGGUGAAAUUCUCUUUGGCAGAAGUUUGAAGAGUGACCUUCCACUAGGUCAAUGCAUGACCCACUAGCUUUAGUUUUGCAAAAAUUACCUUUUUCGCAUUGCUAUAGUUGCAGAGGUUGAAGUAUGUCUCUAGUUGGUCAAGCUACGCAUCGAGUUUUUCAACGUCGAUAGCGUCGUCGUAGUUGGGGAUCUCGACCUUGACCUCAAUCUUGAACGGUUGCGACCUCACUCCUACAAGCGAUGGAGCCAUGCACCCGUCAUUGUUGGUGUCGUUACCGUCUCACGCACCUGAGGAAUCUCGCAGCACCCUUCGUUGGCGUCACGCACGCCUUUGGAGAAGUGUUCUUGAGAUUCGACUACUCUUCUCAACCGGCAUUGCCGAUGGUGCUGCAAAUUGGGCCUUGAUCCAAUCUAAGACAGUCUUCAUGUCGUUCGACAGUGCGGUGACCUUGGCGGUAAGAUUGGAUGGUGUCAAUGUCUGCUUAUCUACCGACAUGUUAAGCGUGCUCUUCGUUUUCCUCGUAGAUGGCCUGCAAAAGAUGUCAAGGACGAAAAGUUGUUUGUCGAUAACUUUGUAGACGUUUUUGAUUUGCACCAUGCACAAGGAUCGUACGCUUUGAUACUACUUAAUUUGUCGUCGUCAGAGGAAGCAAUGUCGCGGCGCCUCCUCAAUGGAUACCUGAAACCACAUUAGAAAAGAUAAAUACAAUGAGCACUUGGUGAAAAAACUUUGUAUAUUUGCUAUCUAACUGGAAUGUCGUUACAAGGGCCAAUAGAACCCCUAUUUAUAGCAGGCUUAUAAGAAGAUAGGAAUAAAAUACUUGAAAAAUAUGCUACCUCAUAUUCUUAUCCUUAUCCAAAGUGAUUUAACAAUUUGAUCCUUCGUCUGAUCCGCUAAAACCAUCUUGAUCCUUAUCCUAACCGAAGUAAUUGUAACUGCCUCUGCCUUAUCUGUAAUGAUUGAAACUUAUCCUGUAUUUCGAUUGUCCUAAAUCAAUAGUGGAACACGGGCUCGCCAACAGAUUCGCUACAUAUACGAAAAGCCCCAUGCAUGUGAACCGUUUAAACAUGCAAAGAAAAUAAAAUCUACUAUAGCUAUAUAUAUUAGAACUAGAAAAUAAAACUAAAACAAAUCUAUAGCCACACUAUACAUAUACCAACUCCCAAAAUAGUAUAUUAACCACAUCUCUGAAUAGAAAAUAAAAUAUACAAGUAAGCUGGCCUUGCUAGUCCUAAUAUGUACAAUAUGCUAACCCCCAAAAAUCGGCCUCUAUUGGGUGCUCCACUAACGCUAUUAGCUCAGUUAGGGAAGCUACUAGCUUGUGACUCCCUUACCUCGAUCAGAUGCUGCAGUAGGAGCGGAGGGUUCUGAUAAAAAAAAAGAGCAACAACAAAGAGCGUAAGAACUACUGUAAAAGUAGUCUCCAGUGGGCACCGUCACCGACGACAACGACCUAUCCACUAGGUCUACUAGAAGCAUAAGUAUAGAUGAUCUAUUGUAUAGCAAGAACAAAUAAAAGCUGUUAUAGAAACUCUAUAGCUACUAUGCCUCUAAACUAUAGAUACUAAAGAUAAAUCUACUAGAUGUAAAUAUAUGCAUCAACUAACUAUCAGGUACUUACAAAAAUAAUGCAAUCCUACUGACCGACUUGAGGGUCCGAUUAAGCUUGCGCCUACCCUGCGUGGCACUACUUUUGUAGGUGGCUUGUUAAUAUGUAGAUCAUCUACCAAGGUUGCUCCAACAUCAACACUAUAGUCAGACUGCAGAGUGGCACUUGAGGGGUGCGACCCUAUUGACUAAAUGACAUAAUCUGUCGAGCUCAAAGUCAAUGCAGAUGAUCUACCAUAUCAUAACUAAUGCCAUCCACAUGCCCCUGGAACAAUUCGGAGUGUAAUUCAAUGAUCUAAAACCACCAUAUCACUAUACGAUACAGUAAAUACUAACCACUCUAUCAACUAUUGUACUAACUGUCUCAGCCAUCAACACAGGUAUAAAAUCAUUCUACACUAUUCUGAAUCAUCCUUACCCACUAAUUUGGGUGAAAAGUAGGUAAAAAUAGGUGUUGACGACAAAUAGAAACGAUAGGAUAUCCAGACGUAGUAUAGGUUUUAUCUAACUAUAGUCUAGUUCUUCACUAUAAUAAAAUCUGCCACAUGUAAGUUUAACAUGAUCAAUACUAGAAACUCAGUAUACCAUAUGAAUUUCCAUGAUUCCUUAUUUAAACAUUCAGGUUCAGCAAUUAAACAUAAAGCAUAUAGGAACUAAACUAGGCAUAAAAAUAAUUCAUCGUUUUCAAUAAAUUAAACCCACCUCAGCUAUAAAAUCCAACAGUGAAAAAGGUAUAACUAGCUUCUACACGUCUCCCUCACUGCUCUAGAAUCAACAGGAACUUAGCAAAAUUCAAAAAAUUCGGCAAGAACAUUGCUAGGAUAACUGAAGUCUGAAAUUCAAUAAGAAAAACCACUUCAACUCAAGAAAUCUAUAUUUACAUCAACAAUUAACUCAACCUACCACUAAACCCAACUAGGAGUAGCUCCAAAUCAACUGGAAGUGUCAAAAAAAAAAAGAAAAAAAAAAACAAAAAGCCAGCAAUAGCUCUGCUAGAAGAAUCAGACUAAAAAAACUAAUGAAAAGCCAUUUUGAGCUCAAAGCAUUAAUUAAACUCCAAACUCAGCCCUACUAACCUGAAAUUCAGCUGCAAGGAAUGAUCCAAAAGCUCCCUUCCUUUAGCUAAACCAUGAGCAAGACCCAAUUCAAAAACUAGAAGCUCCAAUGAAACCAAAAUCCCAAGCUUCAGCUACUGCAACUACUACCGUUGCUGUUUCCUAGCCCGCAAAUGAGGAAAAAGUAGAAGGAGAAGGAGAUGGGAAUUAAGGUCUCUAGGAUAUAGGGAUUCGAAAAGAAGUAAAGGACCAGCCCACUGGUCAAUUUAUAGGUGAAAAGAAUGAGUAAAAUAAGCCCUCUGAUCAAACGAAAUAAAUCUGUUUCAGCAGAAAUCCCAUAUUUCGGGCGCCCGGAGCCACCUUCGGGCAUCCAAAAAGCCUCACAUCAGCAUCCAGAAUGCAAAAUAGGUGCCCGCAGUUAGGGUUCGAAUCACCUACCUAUGCUCAAAUCUGAAACAAUCAUUGUGCAUGUGUCAACAGGCUUCAAUAUGCUUGAAGAGUUCGCCAACUCACUUUCGGGUUGCUAUAGUGUUUUCAGGACAUUCGGAAAGAGAGCCCGAAAUGACUUUAGUAACUCCUGCAGCAUUGCACUACACAUCUGGGUGCCCAGUUCAUCAUUCGAGCGUCAGAAAGUGGCCAGAAUUUCAAUUCUAGCUGAUUUCCAUACUCCAGAUCCGUUUUCGCAUCCAUUUCGCACCAAAACGACUCCGACUCAACUGACACUCUACAGAUGUGUCUGUUGGGAUCAAAAAAAUUUUAAAAUUCAAAUUGAGAAUAUAGAAGGAAUGAAAUAAAUAAAUUGAGGUGAUUAAUACUUGCCUUAGAUGACCAACCAUAAAAGAGGAAAGAAAAUAAGAUUAUAUGGUUGCCUUAUUUCCAAAUUCUUUUGAAUUAUUUCCCUAAAUGAAGAGAUCCUAGAACCACUAUAAAUUGGAUCAUGAGAUUCAAAGAAAAAAAAAUUUGGGAGGUUUCAAAAAAAAAAAGAAAAAAAGAAGAGAGGGCGCGUCAGGAGGAGGGCGCCUGUCUCUCCCUCUCUCUCUGGUUCGUACAUAGAGAGAGAGAGAGGAAGUUGGGUGCCCUCUCUCAGGCCAACAAAAAAAAAAAGAAAGAAUGAAAGAAAAAAAGAGAAAAAGAAACUAAAAAAACAGAGUUGAAGCACGAUCACGCUGGCGACGGCUGCGACAACGACGAUGACGAUCAUGGCGACUUCCACAACGAUAAAGGGUAAUGCAUACAUCCAAAUGGUAUAAGUACGAAUUUUUUUUUUCGGUUUGAUCAACAUGACCAUCUUCGUGAGAGGCUCGAACCGAUCAAAUUCGAUAUUAAAUUGUUACUUUUACCAUGUGUAUGCAUUGCUAAUCCUUAUACCGAGUGGCCAUCUUCGUGAUAGGCUCGACACAGUCAAAGGGUUGAUCGAGCAGCCAUCUUCAUAAUAGGCUUAGCACGAUCAAACCUGCAUAUGCAUCACUAAUCCAUAUAUCGAUCGAGCGGCCACAUGAUAGGUUCAACACGGUCAAAGGAUUGAUUGAGCGGCCAUCUUCAUAAUAGGCUCGACAUGAUCAAACCCACGUAUUUGAAUAAAUUAUAUAUAUAUAUAUAUAUAUAUAGAGUGAGGCUACUAUGCUAUCGGAAGCACGGAGCCUUUCGUGUUUCCAGCUCGUUUUCAAUGUUGUGAGUUUCGAAUCGUCGAUCGGCUCCGUUAAAUUUGAUCUAGAGUAUUUGAAGUACCUGAAAAAUAAAUUUUAUGAUUUUACGAUAUCAUUUGCCUAUUCUGUGAACGAAUAUGGGUUGCUCAAAUCAAACGCGGCUGAAAAUAAAAUCUUACAAAAUGUAAUAUAUGACAUUAAUUUUAAAUCAAAGAUAUUGAUCUUGUUUUAUAUAGUAUAAAGAAUUUUCUAUCAAAAUUUACGUGAUUUAGAUAUUUUUACACGUUAACUUGCAAACGGCUCACUACGGCCAUUGAAAUUUGUUUGAUUUUGAGCCAUUCGAUCACUAGGCAAAUGGUAUCGAAAUAAUAAAAUUUAUUUUCUAGGUACUCCAAAUACUCUAGAUCAAGUUUAACGGAGCCGAUCGCGAUUCGAAAGUCGCAAAAUCGAAAAACGAGCUGGAAGCACGGAAGGCUCCGUGCUUCCGAUAGCAUAGUAGCUUCACUCUAUAUAUAUAAUUAUACUAUAUAAUAAUAUAUAUAUAUAUAGAGAGAGAGAGAGAGAGAGACUACUAUGCUCUUAUGAGUAUAGAGCCUCUUGUACUCAUAAAUUUUUGACCAUUAGAUCUACCCAUUAAUCAUUUUCACCCGUUAGAUUAUACUAUUCAAUAAACCACCCACUCAACCCUAGGGGGCCCACUAUCACACUAACCGUAACUACUCUCAUCCUAACCCAUAUUUUUUCAUCCGAACGGUAUCAAACUUAUGAGUACAAAGGGCUCUAUACUCAUAUGAGUAUAGUAGCCCUAGCCUAUAUAUAUAUAUAUAUAUAUAUAUAUAUAUAUAUGAUGAGCAUAUUUUGAUUGUUCAAAUCAUUCGUCAUUUUCGUGAUAGGCACGAUUCGACUUGAUCAACUCACCAUCUUCGUGAUAGGCACAUAUUUGAUCAAAUUGUCAUUUUCGUGAUAGAUGUAGCUUGACUUAAUCGAACCCGUGUUUGAAACGGGUUAUCUUAGCAACACCCCACAAGUGCCAAAAAAAAAAAGAAAAAAAAAGAAGAUGAUUCAUGAA
rnacentral:lncRNA from 1 species